UUACGUCUCAGUGUGAGUUAUUGAUGGUGCAUCAUGAAAUAAGCAGCAUCUACCUCCCCUACCCACCCACUGUUCCCCAACCUACAGUAUCACCUGCCAGCUUGGAGCAGGGGACCUAAAUGAGGUAUUCAAAAGUAUGAAGAGGGUCGAUAAUAGGAAACUUGUCAGAGCAGAGGUAUCUAAAACCCGGGAGUUCGGCAGAAUUGAAGGUUGUUUUUAAAUUGAUUUUUUAAUGCAUUUCUACUAUUGCUACAACAAAAACUCAACUACAAAAUAAGAGAUUAAUACAGUGGAAGGUAAACAUACUUUUCAAACAAAGCAAGAGGCUGAGAGUGGAAGAGUGAAGCAUCGCUGAGAGAAGGUAGUUUUUCUUUAACCGAGCUGGGAAAAGAGGCUCUACUGCGCAGACGCUUGACGUAGUGCGCCAAGGUUUAACAGGGAGACCACCUUAUACAGCGACCAUCGCCGGAGUGGGACGGCUUCGGCCAGAAACAGGCAGAGGCGAGGGUAGGUUCCGACUCCACAUAGGGUACAAGGAGGACCUGUUGAAAUUAUUAUGGGAAGAACAAACAAGUCAAAGAAAGACUUUGCUAAUCCUGCACAUCAACUUCAAUGAGGACUGUAGACUGGCAGAAACAAUCUGUCACAAUGUUUUACAACCCUUUCUAAAGGCACCUGUCAAGACCUCAUAAGCAUCAAAAAUAUGGAGCAAGUGUCGCUUGGAUUAGAAACAUACAAAAGUGUCAUAAGCAACAUAAUGGCAACUGUGCAAUCAUAAAGAUCUUCAAACAACUUCUUGAGGAGCUUAUAUUACAAUCCUAUAGAAUGUGGUUACUCAUUUUCCAAGGCAAUUAAUUUUCAGUUUUAUUGAAUGCAAUGUACAACUUUCUAAAAUAGGAAUUAAACUCUUUUGGAUUCUGCACAGUAUGAAUAUUAUAGACAGUUGCAAUAUGGUUCAAAUGUUUAAGACUACUUCAAAAAUAUUAGACCACAAGACAUACGAGCAAAAUUAGACCAUUCAGCCCAUCAGGUCUGCUUCACCAUUCCAUCAUGGCAAUUUGAUUCUCUCUCUCAAACUCAUUCUCUUUACCUUUUCCCCCACAAUCUUUUGAUGUCCUUACUCAUCAAGAACCUAUCAAUCUCCAUUUUAAAUAGACCUGAUGAUUUGGUCUCCAUAAUCAUCUGUGGCAAUGAAUUCCACAGAUUCACCACCCUCUGGCUAAAUAAACUCCUCCUCAUCUUUGUUCUAAACGGCCAUCUUUGUAUUCUGACACCGCUCAAACACAAGCCUUAAGAGUACUCAGAAAUGAAAUAUAAAAGAUUACAUUUUUAAUGAAAUUAAAGUUAUUAAAGCAAACAAACUGCUAAAUCACUUCAUAAAAUUCUGCAGGAUGUAAGUUAUUCGACAGGUUUGUUGCUGUGCUCAGUCAUGAACAUACUCCCUCUAACGUGGGAGUUUGAAUACACAGCCAAAGUGGAAACAAACAUGGUGUUAGAAGAAAUAUAUUUUUAAUGAGUUCAGUAAACUUUAAUAAAGAAUUCCUAAAUCUCUCUCCAAAACAAGUUGAUAAAGCACUGCAAUUUUAAAUAUGCUCUUCAUCUAAUAAUGUGUGGAGUUUGCUUUGGAAUGUUUUCUUUGGAGUGUCGUAGGUGGAAAGGUGACCUGACAGAAGCAGAUAAAAUUAUGAGAGGCAUAGAUAGGGUAGAGGGUAGAAAUGUCAAACACUAGAGGGGAUGCCUUAAACAUGAGAGGGGUAAAGUUUAAAGGAGAUUCACUAAUUUUGUUUUAUAUACAUAGAGUGUGGUAGGUGCCUGGAAUACAAUGGUAAGUGGUGGUCACAGACAUGUAGGCAAACACAGGCACGUGAAUAUGCAGGGAGUACAGGGAAAUAGACCAUGGGCAGGCAAAUGUGAUUAUUUUGGUUCUGCAUUAGGGAUAGCAGACAAAAAGGGCUGGAAGGUUUAUUCCUUUGCUAUCCUGCUCCACAAAAUGGUCACAAAGAAAUCAAAAAUGCCUCCACUUUCCGACUCCUGCAACUUCCAUUCCAGCAAAUAGAAAUCUAACACACUGUUCCUUUUACCUCAGACUUCUAGUCACAUCGAGAGUGAUACCUCUCAAUAUGACUGAUUUGACAGCUCCAUCUAAAAGUAGCUCAAUUUUCCAAUGGAGGCUCAGUAACUGGUAUAUCUGAUUUGAGUUAUGGAGCCCCGUGCACAAUUUAGACAACGAUACCAGAUAUCCUUUGGUCCAUGAGCCAGAACUCUACUAGCCACAAUUCUGCCAUGGCUGCUCAAAUCAUGUAAAUUUCCCUUGGGAUCAAUAAAGUAUGUCUGUCUGUAAAUUUGACAAAAAAAAGGUGACUUUAUUAAAACUGUCCUCCAAAUGCACUUACUUGCAGCUCCUAAUAGAAGUUUGAGAACUAGAACUAUCAAAAAGCAUCCAAAUUGGAGUCACCGACUAUUGACAUGCAAACAAAAUUUUAGCUGACAGAAUUCUUAAAAAAUGCUAAAUAUUAUACUCCAAAUUAAGAAGCCUGAACUUCACCUCUAUUUAUUAUUUACCAUAAACUUUCAAAUAUGUUCACGCAAACAAUUCUCCAUUAUUGUUCUUUGUUCUCAAUCCAUGUUCUUGAAAUGUGAAGGGAAAGCUCAUGUGAAAGGGUUAAAAAAAAUAGGUAAUGCAGAACAAAAGUAAAGAACAAUUACAGUCAGCAAUGUGCAUUUAUGUGGUGCUUUUAGCAUACAAUGUAUCCAGGUGUUUCAGAAGAACAUGUUCAAAUAGAAUUGAGCACUAAGCUACACAAGGACAAAUGGCAGACAAGCAAGAGCUGAAUCCAAGUAGCAGGCUUUAAGAUGCAGCUUGGAAUGACAUAGAAAAACAGAGGGUUAAACCCAACCCACAAAAAUAUUUGACAAACUUGAUAUCCAAUUCCUAACAACUAUAUUGAAUACAAAUUGUGUCUAUUGCAAUGGAUGAUAUAAGAAAAUGGUAGUAGGGAAAGACUGAGUAAACAAUAAUUUAUUAUACAUCUAACCUUGCUCUAAGUAACCUAGGCCUUUUCCUCAGAUACUAACGGUCUACUUUCCUGUACACAAGUUGACUGUUAAUAUCUACUGACUAAGAUGUGAAGAACAGCCAAAUUUGCAGUCUUUAUUUAGGUAUAUCAGCGUAAUCACAGAAGUGUUGAAAGUACUGUACUAAAAUAAAGUGCAAAAAGUCAAUGCUUUUUAUUGCAACACACACAAAAUGCUGCAGGAACUCAGCAGACCUACAAAAGGGUCUCAGCCUGAAACGUCGACUGUACUCUUUUCCAUAGGUGCUGCCUGGCCUGCUGAGUUCCUCCAGCAUUGUUGCUUGGGCUUCCAGCAUUUGUAGACUUUCUCUUGUUUGUAAUGCAUUCUAUUGGUUCAGGUCAACAGUGAUCAAUGCAGCUUUGAAAAGGCAAAUUUCUGGGAAACUUUAUCCACAGAUGGAAACAAACAUGACUUUUCACUUCAGAUAGAAAAGUACACUAUUACCUUGUUUAUGAACGUGUGCAAAGAGGAUUAUGACUUAGCUACAUAUUUCUAAAUUGAAACUCACAUGAGAUUAUUUGGUAUUUAGCAGGGAAUAGUGACAAAUUGUGAAUUUGAAUUUAAAAUUGAAAUGUUUAUUAAAAAUAUUUUCACUCAGAAGACUUAAAACUUCAGUCAAAGAUCUACUUGCUUACUUACAGAUACAGCACAGUAAUAGGCCCUCCCAGCACAAAGAGCCAGUACUGCCCAAUUACACAUGUGACCAAUUACCAUACUAACCCAUCUGUCUUUGGAAUGUGGGAGGAAACUGGAGCACCCAGAAGAAACUCUUGUGGUCACAGGAAAAGUACAAAUUCCUUACAGACAGCAGUGCAAUUGAACCUGGGUCUCUAGCAUUGUAAUAGCAUUACGCUAACAGCUAUGCUACAAUGCACAUAAUUUAGCAACAACUCUGAAUCCAAUCUGUGUUUAUUUGGGCAUUAGAAAUUGCAAUAGUUACCUGUGAGAGAAUGGAUAAAACAGCACCAAAAUAGAGGAUGGGUUGGCAAGUAAGUUGUGCAUAACUUUGGAAACAAGUUUAACAGAAACUGAUUACACAAACAAAAUGUUCAUCAUGCCUGCUCAUUUGAACUUAAAACAAUCCUAAGUCUUUGUGCUGAGGGGCACUUCACUCUAUCUACAAUAACAUUUUAAGUGGUCCUUUUAACUAGAAAGAUUUCCUUAAACAUCUUUGAACUUCAGUUAUUGCAUGGAAAUAUUUUCCCAUAACAAAUUGUUUUCUAUUAAAAAUCUCAUGAUGGGCUGUUGCCAUAGCUACAGGAAAUAGGUCAUAGCUGAAAUUCUUUUCAUAGCUGGGAACAGCAUUGCUUAAGAAAGGAAAUCUACUGAAUCAGUUAAACUGAACAUACAGAAACUCACUACUGAUACAUUGUUCUGUUAUCAGUUGAUCAAUGUAUAAA